GACGAACGCUGGCGGCGUGCCUAAUACAUGCAAGUAGAACGCUGAAGAGAGGAGCUUGCUCUUCUUGGAUGAGUUGCGAACGGGUGAGUAACGCGUAGGUAACCUGCCUUGUAGCGGGGGAAAACUAUUGGAAAGGAUACCAAAUACCGCAUAACAAGGGUGGACACAGGUCAUUUAUUGGAAAGGGGCAUUUCCUCCACUCCAGAAUGGACUUGCGUUGUAUUAGCUAGUAGGUGGGGUAAUGGCUCACCUAGGCGACGAUACAUAGCCGACCUGAGAGGGUGAUCGGCCACACUGGGACUGAGACACGGCCCAGACUCCUACGGGAGGCAGCAGUAGGGAAUCUUCGGCAAUGGGGGCAACCCUGACCGAGCAACGCCGCGUGAGUGAAGAAGAUUUUCGGAUCGUAAAGCUCUGUUGUAAGUCAAGAACGGGUGUGAGAGUGGAAAGUUCACACUGUGACGGUAGCUUACCAGAAAGGGACGGCUAACUACGUG
rnacentral:rRNA from 1 species